UUUAUGUAGGAUAAAACAGGUUUCUUUUUCUAUAGAUAAAGUUAGUUGCUAGAAGAAUCUAGUAUAAAGAAUUUGGCUUUGGUUCGCUUAUAUAAUUAUACCAAAGAGAUACACAUGGUUGUUGUUACGAUAGGUGAGUGAAGAUUGAUGAUGGGUGCUAGAUAAAAUUUAUUUACUCAUUGGAUAUCAGAAACAUUAUAAUAAUAAGAUGUUGAGUUAUCCACUAACACCAGUGUAGGAUAUUUUAAAAGCAUGAAAGUGUGUAUAAGGUUAAGUAUGGUUCAAUUGGUUAUUUUAGUGCCAGCAGUUGCGGUUAAACUAAAGAUUGAGGUUAUACAAAUAUAGCUAGACAGUGAUACAGUAAAGGGGGUAAGAAAUAGUAGAUAUGUGGUAGAAUAUUAUUUAUUAAAAUUCAAAGUACUCUACAUGUGAAGCUGUGAAAUCUAGAGGGAAGACUAGGAUUAGAUACCCUAUUAUUCUUGGGCUUAAAUUAUGAAGCUAGAGUACUACGAAUAGAUAUAUUUAAAACUCAAAAAGCUUGGCGGUGCUGCAUAACAUAUUAGGGGAGCUUGUCUCGUAAGCGAUGAUCCACGAGGAACCUUACCUUACCUACUAGUUUAUAUACCGUCGUCGUCAGUCAACUUUUUAAGAAUAUAGAGGUAGGCGGGAGAGCGUACAGCUAUGAUGUCAGAUCGAGGUGCAGCUAAUGGUGAGGAGAGGAUGAGCUACAAUUAAGAUACAUAAUACGGAUGAUCAAGAUUGAAACAUAGGUUUGAAGGUGGACUUAAAAGUAAAAACAUAUAUCAGAAUGUUUUGAAUAUUAUGGUCAGCGUGUACAUAUCGCCCGUCGCUCUCGUUGAAAAAUGAGAUAAGUCGUAACAUAGUAGGGGUACUGGAAAGUGUUCCUGG
rnacentral:ncRNA from 1 species